rnacentral:rRNA from 1 species
GAUGAACGCUGGCGGCGUGCUUAACACAUGCAAGUCGAACGGAGAUUAUUGAAGGAAGUUUUCGGAUGGAAUUUAAUGAUCUUAGUGGCGGACGGGUGAGUAACGCGUGGGUAACCUGCCUCAUACAGGGGGAUAACACUUAGAAAUAGGUGCUAAAACCGCAUAAGCGCACAGUAUCGCAUGAUACAGUGUGAAAAACUCCGGUGGUAUGAGAUGGACCCGCGUCUGAUUAGCUAGUUGGUGAGGUAACGGCCCACCAAGGCGACGAUCAGUAGCCGGCCUGAGAGGGUGAACGGCCACAUUGGGACUGAGACACGGCCCAA